CCUACGGGCGGCAGCAGUAGGGAAUAUUGCUCAAUGGGGGAAACCCUGAAGCAGCAACGCCGCGUGGAGGAUGAAGGCUUUAGGAUUGUAAACUCCUUUUGUUAGAGAAGUUUAUGACGGUAUCUAACGAAUAAGGACCGGAUAACUCCGUGCCAGCAGCCGCGGUAAUACGGAGGGUGCAAGCGUUACUCGGAAUCACUGGGCGUAAAGCGUGCGUAGGCGGGGUAAUAAGUCCGAUGUGAAAUCCUGGAGGUUAACUACAAAACUGCAGUUGAAACUGUUACUCUGGAGUGUGGGAGAGGUAGGUGGAAUUCGUGGUGUAGGGGUAAAAUCCGUAGAGAUCAAGAGGAAUACUGAUUGCGAAGGCAGCCUGCUGGAACAUUACUGACGCUGAGGCACGAAAGCGUGGGGAGCAAACAGGAUUAGAUACCCGUGUAGUC
rnacentral:rRNA from 1 species